AUUGAACGCUGGCGGCAGGCCUAACACAUGCAAGUCGAGCGGAUGAAAGGAGCUUGCUCCUGGAUUCAGCGGCGGACGGGUGAGUAAUGCCUAGGAAUCUGCCUGGUAGUGGGGGACAACGUUUCGAAAGGAACGCUAAUACCGCAUACGUCCUACGGGAGAAAGCAGGGGACCUUCGGGCCUUGCGCUAUCAGAUGAGCCUAGGUCGGAUUAGCUAGUUGGUGAGGUAAUGGCUCACCAAGGCGACGAUCCGUAACUGGUCUGAGAGGAUGAUCAGUCACACUGGAACUGAGACACGGUCCAGACUCCUACGGGAGGCAGCAGUGGGGAAUAUUGGACAAUGGGCGAAAGCCUGAUCCAGCCAUGCCGCGUGUGUGAAGAAGGUCUUCGGAUUGUAAAGCACUUUAAGUUGGGAGGAAGGGUUGUAGAUUAAUACUCUGCAAUUUUGACGUUACCGACAGAAUAAGCACCGGCUAACUCUGUGCCAGCCGCCGCGGUAAAAC
rnacentral:rRNA from 1 species